UACGUAGGGUGCGAGCGUUAAUCGGAAUUACUGGGCGUAAAGCGUGCGCAGGCGGUGAUGUAAGACAGAUGUGAAAUCCCCGGGCUCAACCUGGGAACUGCAUUUGUGACUGCAUCGCUGGAGUGCGGCAGAGGGGGAUGGGAUUCCGCGUGUAGCAGUGAAAUGCGUAGAUAUGCGGAGGAACACCGAUGGCGAAGGCAAUCCCCUGGGCCUGCACUGACGCUCAUGCACGAAAGCGUGGGGAGCAAACAGG
rnacentral:rRNA from 1 species